UGGGGAAUUUUGGACAAUGGGCGCAAGCCUGAUCCAGCAAUGCCGCGUGCAGGAUGAAGGCCUUCGGGUUGUAAACUGCUUUUGUACGGAGCGAAAAGGUCUGCCCUAAUACGGUGGGCUCAUGACGGUACCGUAAGAAUAAGCACCGGCUAACUACGUGCCAGCAGCCGCGGUAAUACGUAGGGUGCGAGCGUUAAUCGGAAUUACUGGGCGUAAAGCGUGCGUAGGCGGUUAUGCAAGACAGAGGUGAAAGCCCCGGGCUCAACCUGGGAGCGGCCUUGGUGACUGCAUAGCUAGAGUGCGGUAGAGGGGGAUGGAAUUCCGCGUGUAGCAGUGAAAUGCGUAGAUAUGCGGAGGAACACCGAUGGCGAAGGCAAUCCCCUGGACCUGUACUGACGCUCAUGCACGAAAGCGUGGGGAGCAAACA
rnacentral:rRNA from 1 species